UACGUAGGGUGCGAGCGUUAUUCGGAAUUACUGGGCGUAAAGGGUGCGCAGGCGGUCCUGCAAGUCAGGCGUGAAAUCCCCGGGCUUAACCUGGGAAUGGCACUUGAAACUACGGGACUGGAGUAUGGCAGAGGGAGGUGGAAUUCCACGUGUAGCGGUGAAAUGCGUAGAGAUGUGGAGGAACACCGAUGGCGAAGGCAGCCUCCUGGGCCAAUACUGACGCUCAUGCACGAAAGCGUGGGGAGCAAACAGG
rnacentral:rRNA from 1 species